AUACAGAGGGUGCAAGCGUUAAUCGGAUUUACUGGGCGUAAAGCGCGCGUAGGUGGCUAAUUAAGUCAAAUGUGAAAUCCCCGAGCUUAACUUGGGAAUUGCAUUCGAUACUGGUUAGCUAGAGUAUGGGAGAGGAUGGUAGAAUUCCAGGUGUAGCGGUGAAAUGCGUAGAGAUCUGGAAGAAUACCGAUGGCGAAGGCAGCCAUCUGGCCUAAUACUGACACUGAGGUGCGAAAGCAUGGGGAGCAAACAGGAUUAGAUACCCUGGUAGUCCAUGCCGUAAACGAUGUCUACUAGCCGUUGGGGCCCUUGAGGCUUUAGUGGCGCAGCUAACGCGAUAAGUAGACCGCCUGGGGAGUACGGUCGCAAGACUAAAACUCAAAGGAAUUGACGGGG
rnacentral:rRNA from 1 species